UCAGCUCCCGCUUCUCCUCCCCCAAGCCAGCCGCCGCCCUCCUCAUCUCCCCGUCCAGCCGCCGCUUCACCUGCAUCCAUCUCUCCCCCAAUCCCCACCUGCUCCGGUCCCUUUCUCCUCCUCUACCCUGUCUCUCGGUUUUCUCCAUGGAUGUACCAUGGAGAGAGAGGCGGAGGGCAGGAGCUGCACCAUGGCUGGAGAGGCGGAGCUCGACGUGGAGGAGUACGCAGAGAAGCGGCAGACCGAUGUUCUCCCCCUCCUCCUCAACGCGCAGCAAGAGGAGCAGAUGGUGCCGCCAACUUGGGGGCGACACGUUGGCUGCCACUGCAGAGAUAGACGAGCUAGAUCUACUUGGAAAUCUGAAUUGUAGUGUAUACCAACCAAGUUGCAGAUUCCUUACAUGUUUAGGGAAGGCAAUCAACAAAAAAAUCUAGAAAAAAUAGAGGUUGCCAUUCAGGCGUGACAUUAUUGGAGCCAUCUCAUGGGGCUUUUUGUGUUGUCUCCUCAUAUUAACCUCACACAUGAUGCUGUACUUCAGGCCCUCGGGUGCUCGAUGUAUAGGCUAUGUUGUGUUCUUUUGCUUCUCUUCAUUACCUGUUGUUCAAUAUAGUGUUUUAUAAGCCAUUACCAGUUCAAAGGCCUAACCUUCACCAUAGGUUGGAUAAUUUGUCAUUGUGGAUAUGGAGAAAUGCUAGGUGUUACCAUCAGAUUUAUUUGAUGGAGUUUGGUUAUGUUACGUGACUUAUGUCUUUGACAUUCGACGGAAAUGAAUCAAUAAAAUGCAGUAUGCAGAAGACCUUGAUAUAUCAAACUAUAGUGACAUGUAAUCUGGCUUGCAACUGAGAAGUUUAACCAUGCUUGUGUGACACCGUCUGGGAUGUUCCCUUCUUAGCCCCUGCUAAGAGUGCAACAAUUAAAAAAAAUUAAGUGAUUCCCAGAUCAUAUUAUUUACCUUCAUUCAGGAAAUAGACUACUACAAGAAAUGACUACGUUGAGCAGCUCAUUGGUACCGCCACAAGAGUCAAUAUAUUAUUUGUGGAAAUAAGUCAAGGAAAGCGUAUAACUUAUCUGUCCAUGACAAUGAGGUAUUGAAAGCAAGCGAUUCUCUACUGAAAGUCAACUCAAUGGAAUGGUUGGGCAAGGAGGAAGAGGCUCCUGUGGUCGAUGUCGUUGGCAGCAGGUUGACAGUGGCAUUCAGCUCACGGAGGCAGGUCGACGUGGGUGACCACCUGGAGCAACUCGCACAUCAAAAAGAUGCACCAGGGUACAGAGGAGCUAAAGGACACACUGGUAUGACACAAGGCUCACUGGAACUGUCGGAAACGUCACCGGAGUGCUGUCGGAGUUGGAGAAGAUGAUGCCUGAUCUCCUCGGUUACUACGAGAUGGAGCAGGAAAUGAGGUCCCUGAGGAUCACAGAAGCAUGGGCAACAAAAAUGAUUCAGGCAGGUUCCUCUGACCUUUCUGUAGGAUGCUCACCUGCGGCAAUGGCGUGAAUGGCAGCUUGGGCGAUUUGGGGUUUGCAGAGGUCCGGGGAAGAAAGGAAAAGGAGAGCUAGGUCACGGGGAAGGUUUUUAAAGGUGAAGGGGGCGGUGUGGAUGGCCUGGUCAUCGAUGAACGGCGAGCAUCCUGCCGCUGCGCUGCCCGGUGGAGUGGUGCCACGAGGAAGACGACUGACUGAGGAGAGAGAAGUGCUUCUCCUGUUCCAUAAAUUAAUUGAGUACAAGGAAAAGGAUCGGAGGGGAUUCACUAGAACAUAAUACGUUAUUUCCUUUCCUGUUGUUUCUAAUUCACACAAGUUUCUGCCUAACAACUAAUGAGCAUAUAUUUGUUAUAUUAAUUGUGACAACCUGCAGUUUCAAUUUUACGGGUGCUUAUUAUUAGAUAAAGUAGUAAUAUGUAAAUUUCAUGGGAAGCUUAUUAAUUGCGAAUUUUAGAUACUGUAUUAUUUUUCGGCAGAUGUCUAUAUUUUGUACUUCCUCUGGUGUUGUAGGCCAUUGCUGCAUCGAAACAAUAGUGCAUUCCCAUAAGGUACUGAUCCGGUGUUCGGUCGAAUUUGAAUUGCUGUAGCUUUACCAAACUACUCAUACUAUUAUUUAGUAAUUAUAUAUUGAUAUGUCUAGGUAAUAAUCUUUAGCAAGAUUAGUUCUUCCUUUAAAGAUUUCGUACAUUCCUUACCAAGAUUCUAUUUUUCUAACAUUGAUGCAAAUGUAAUUGACUUGUAGUAUUCCAUAGGGACUAGAUAUUUCGAUGAAAUUGCAGAUCGAUGACAAGUGAAAUUCCUAGGGGUUCCUUGGUAUGCGCAACUAUUUUGUUCAGACUGUAACAACUUCAAACUGAAAUUUUUGUCUACUUUUGAUUAUUGAUACCCCAUACUGUUGGCAUCUGCACCAGUAUGGCAUCUCUGUUGUUGCUCUUGAAAUUACCAAAUACAGUUCCAUCCAAACCCAACCUUGGAAGUAUAAUUGGCUCAUGUUUAUGCUGAUGCUUACUGAGUGAGACUCCUCUUUCUAACCAUUAUUAUUAUGAGAUUGUAUUGAAUGUUCUCCAGGGAUGUCUCAUUUAACUACAUAGUUCACACAUAGCCUGUUUCUUUUCUGCAAUCAUUGGUACUCCAGGAUUUCCUCUUCAUUGGCUUGUUAAACUGCAGGUGCAGGUCAUUGCACAUGCCCCUGUGAAUCCAUUAGAAACACGCAUGCUAAAGUGGGAACAGAAAAGAGUGAUGGUUCCAGGCUUAAGUCCUCGGUGAAGAAAGCUAUGUUGGAUGUUGGGUGCAGAGACCAAGAACAAAAAGGAUUAGCUCUGUGCUCACAGGAUGGUGACGAAUAAUGACAUGGCAGCCCCUCCUACGAGUGCUGGACUAGACUGCAUACAGGUGCUGCUUCGUCAGGUCAAUUCUUCCACGCAAGACGGGGAGGCCUUCAUCGAGCUUCAUGGAACCCUUCGCUGCUCCUUGCUUCUUCCGGCGGUUCUCAUGAUUUCGUGUGUAUUAUCCUAAU